UCAGCCCCACACGCCUCGCCGCAUUUACGGGCUCGCGCCCGACGCUGUCGCCGAGGAAAACGUGACGAUAAUUAUUCUGAGGUUUCUCACGCCACGGCGCAGGAAACCUGGAGCCAGAGCUUCUGCCGUUGCGUCGGGUUUUGGUGUCGCUGUCUUAAUAGUAUUAGCGCAGUCCUUUGAGCAAACAUGUUACAAAGAAAGAAACCGCGGCUUCGUGGCGGCGGAGCCCGCUUGUCGCAAUCUGGCUGUGAUUCUCGGAGCCAAACGGGAUCACAAGGAGCUGAUGCUCCUGCGGUCACAUCCAGUCCAUGGUGACAAAAUUAAUAUGCAGGGUUACAUUGACAGUUUGUGACCGUGUACUGGAUCCUACCACGGCGUUCUCUGGUAUGGUAGCCGUUGGCUAUAUGGUGGUAAGCCACAAGGGAGUGGAUGUAGUCUGGAGAAGUAUGAGGUAGUAAGCUACUGUGUAUAAUCUGUGUGAUCACAGACAUAUAGACCUCCCUGCACUAGGGUAUGUGUCUAUCAGGCAUUUGUCCUUAAGGAAUUCAGUGCAUUGAACUUGAUCACACUAAGAAUUCCAUUUAUUUCAUAGAGUGAUGGACCUGGGAGCUGAAUCAAUAGACUGUCGCUAUCCUUCAUUAAACCACAUAGAAAACAUUCCAUUACCGUUAAUAAAGUCAACGUGCCUUUUAUAUUGGGCCGCAUUUGCAGUUUAAACCCAUAAUUUGAAAUCUGAGAUUGAAGGACACUGCAGGUGCCAAUUUAGAUGGGUGGUCAUUGAACCCAAACGUCUAGUUAAAUCAUUCAUUAUAAAUUUCAAUGCUUGUCUCUUAACAAAAUUAGUUUUUUUCCCCGCCUGUCAUAUAUCUGAGUGCAUUUCUGUACUUUUAUGAUUUAUUUAUUGAGGUUCGUUUUAAUGCUUGCUCUCUUGGCGCGUGCCUUGCUGUUCUGUUAUUGCAGGAAAAGGGAAGAAAGUAGAAGAGAAGAAAUAUGACCAAAGAUGGUAAAAGUGGAUUGGGCUUGGUGGAGCACAGACUGUGUUCAGAAAGGCCUAAAACAUGCCCUGUUUGCUGGAUAUUCGCUUCUCAGCAUUGCCCCAAAGAUUAUCUAUGCAGCUAAACUAGCAGCUGGAUCUGAGCAGCUGGUCUCGCUAGUAGGCCCAUCUGGUUGACGUGCCCAGCAGGGCGCUCUUCCACAGCCUGUCCAUGGCCUGGGUCUCCAUCCAAGGCUGAUGACACGCCCGCUGCUGGAGGCGCAGAUGUUCCGUGGCACUGGGAUGAGGUCAGCCGCAGGCUUGGACGCUGCUCUCCGGGCCCUGCCGCGGCCCUCGCGAGGCCAGGAUCGCACGGGGUUAAACUGCGGAAGGGUUGGAGAAUGAAGAUCUUCCCCGGGGAAGGAACGGGGGGAAGACAUCCAACAAGACACCUGGCAGAGAGAGAGGGAGCCUGUCCCUGGGCCUCAGUGAUGGUGUUGAAAUGUUCUGCUGAGCACGGUGGAUGAAUGGGUCCGGCCCUUCCGAGGAAAAACAGGAGAGGCACACCGCAAGACCAGGAAUUCAGAUGCUGGUUUACUCUGCAAGCUUUAUUUGAACAGCAAAGAAAGUUCCCUCGGUUCCAAAACCCACUUCCUCGGUAAUGAGGCUGUGUAAAGUCUGCCUAAGCAGCAUGUUAUUUUCUUCAGAAAUAGAAGGCGGUUUGGGAGUUCUGGUCUGGAGAUCUGUGUGGCGAAUGGAGCUCUAUUUUAAACAAGCUGGUUGCGGCUUUUGGGGAGAGGAGCAGGUUUGUGUACCUCCUUUUAAUAUACCUCUCAAUUUACCUGGAACAAUAAUGAGAGCCAUAAAUCAUAAUAUAUCUUUCCCUCUGUUCAAUCCAUAGCAGCUUUUAAGGUGAACCUACAUAUAUGGU